rnacentral:rRNA from 1 species
GGGGUGGCGGCAGCUACACAUGCAAGUCGAGCGGAACGAGUUAUCUGAACCUUCGGGGAACGAUAACGGCGUCGAGCGGCGGACGGGUGAGUAAUGCCUAGGAAAUUGCCUUGAUGUGGGGGAUAACCAUUGGAAACGAUGGCUAAUACCGCAUAAUGCCUACGGGCCAAAGAGGGGGACCUUCGGGCCUCUCGCGUCAAGAUAUGCCUAGGUGGGAUUAGCUAGUUGGUGAGGUAAUGGCUCACCAAGGCGACGAUCCCUAGCUGGUCUGAGAGGAUGAUCAGCCACACUGGAACUGAGACACGGUCCAGACUCCUACGGGAGGCAGCAGUGGGGAAUAUUGCACAAUGGGCGCAAGCCUGAUGCAGCCAUGCCGCGUGUAUGAAGAAGGCCUUCGGGUUGUAAAGUACUUUCAGCAGUGAGGAAGGGGGUGUCGUUAAUAGCGGCAUCUCUUGACGUUAGCUGCAGAAGAAGCACCGGCUAACUCCGUGCCAGCAGCCGCGGUAAUACGGAGGGUGCGAGCGUUAAUCGGAAUUACUGGGCGUAAAGCGCAUGCAGGUGGUUUGUUAAGUCAGAUGUGAAAGCCCGGGGCUCAACCUCGGAACUGCAUUUGAAACUGGCAAACUAGAGUACUGUAGAGGGGGGUAGAAUUUCAGGUGUAGCGGUGAAAUGCGUAGAGAUCUGAAGGAAUACCAGUGGCGAAGGCGGCCCCCUGGACAGAUACUGACACUCAGAUGCGAAAGCGUGGGGAGCAAACAGGAUUAGAUACCCUGGUAGUCCACGCCGUAAACGAUGUCUACUUGGAGGUUGUGGCCUUGAGCCGUGGCUUUCGGAGCUAACGCGUUAAGUAGACCGCCUGGGGAGUACGGUCGCAAGAUUAAAACUCAAAUGAAUUGACGGGGGCCCGCACAAGCGGUGGAGCAUGUGGUUUAAUUCGAUGCAACGCGAAGAACCUUACCUACUCUUGACAUCCAGAGAACUUUUCAAAGAUGGAUUGGUGC